AUGGGUAAGCUGACUGAUGCCAUGGAUAAGUUCAGUCAGAUGGUUGUUGGUACGGGAGUACAGCCGGACACAGUUGUUUAUCACUCCCUAGUUCAGUUCUUAUGUACACAUGGUGAUUUGGUGAAAGCGAAGGAGUUGAUUUCUGAAAUGAUGAAUAAAAGUAUUGCUCGUCCAAACACUGCACUCUUUAGUUCAAUAAUGGACAGUCUAUGCAAUGAAGGAAGGGUUAUAGAUGCACACCAUAUCUUUGACUUGGUUAUAGACAUAGGUGAGAAACCUGAUAUCAGUAUGUUUAGUACGCUGAUUGACGGAUAUUGCUUAGUCGGCGAGAUGGACAAAGCAUGUGGAGUACUUGAUGCCAUGGUAUCAGCUGGCAUUGAGCCUAAUGUCAUUACGUAUAGCACACUUGUCAGUAGAUAUUGUAAACGUGGAAGGAUCGAUGAUGGGUUGAUUCUGUUCAGACAAAUGUUGCAUAAGAAAGUUAAACCUACAACUGUUACAUAUGAAACCACACUGAAUGGAUUAUUUCGUGCUGGGAGAACUGCUGAUGCGAAGAAAAUCUUCGAUGAGAUGAUCGAAAGUGGAAUAAUGGCGAGCAUUUCUACAUAUAAUAUAAUUCUUGGAGGACUUUGUAGAAAUAAUUGCGCAGAUGAAGCGGUCGUCCUAUUCCAGAAAUUACGUGCAAUGAAUGUGAAGUUCAAUAUCACAACACUCAAUACCAUCAUUAAUGCAUUGUACAAGGUUGAAAGAAGAGAAGAAGCUAAUGAUUUGUUUGCUGCAUUACCAGUCAGCGGGUUGGUGCCUAAUGCUUCCACUUACGGAGUGAUGGUACAAAAUCUUCUAAAAGAAGGAGCAGUGGAGGAAGCUGACAGUAUGUUCUCAUCAAUGGAGAAGAGUGGUUGUGCUCCUAGCUCUCGUCUUGUAAAUGAUGUCAUCAGAACUUUAUUGGAAAAGGGGGAGAUAGUCAAGGCCGGAAAAUAUAUGUCUAAAGUUGAUGGGAAGAGCAUCUCACUUGAAGCUUCAACUAGUUCGUUGUUGUUGUCUCUCUUUUCAGGGAAUGGGAAAUAUCGGGAACAACUACAAUUGCUCCCUGCAAAGUACCAAUUUUUCGAUGGAAUCAGUUGA
rnacentral:rRNA from 1 species